AUUUACACACUCUCUGGAAUGACUGAACUCACCACACAGCCAGGCUACAAGACUGUGAAGCAAGAUAACCUCACUGAUACUUCACUGUGGAAGGUGUGGACUGUGACAAAUUUCAUCCUUGUACAGCAAUCGCCCUGGAGGAAGUGUAGGAGGAAGCUCUAAAUUAUUGUCACAACAUCAAAGGACUCUUGAAAGACCUUCAGAGUGAAUAGUGCUGUAUUGAUGAUGUGGAAUGUGUUUUUAAUGACUGAAGUUUUAUCAUCAGAGAAGAGACAGAGAGCCCCCUGGCUUGCUGCUCAGGUAGUGAUUAGGAUUCCUGAGUGUGUCACUGUGAGGAAAACACCAGGUCUACGGACAUCAACAGUCAGAACGACUUUCACAGGGACUGAAUUCCAGUCAUGUGGACAGGAUUUAGUGGUUUGAUUGUCUCAGAAUAUCCUGAAAGAUGAUGCUGUGAAAGUGCUGCACUCAAUAUGCCCGCACAUUUGGA